UAUUAUAGUAUGUUGUUGUGAACCCAUAUUAAUGUGAUUGUGUAAGUAAAUGUUUUAUCAAAUCUUGCCUGUGAUUUACCUACCUAAAUAAAUUUUAGGAUUUUAUUUGGUAAGAAUUUAUUGGUUUACCAAAGAAGACAUAUUUCUACUUGGUAAGUCAAUAAAAGGUGGGACAGUUAAGACGGUUUUCAAGGAAAACCGGAGAAAAGACCAUAUAUACGAGGAAAAAGAUCAGAGCGAAGAGACGGAGGGGGAACUCAAGAUCUGGAUGCAACCAGAAAGAAAACAACUCUGCACUGCAUUCAACAAGCUAAGAAAGUUGUUUAUUCAUGAUGUUUGAACAUCCAUGCCUGGAGGGUGAUGAAGCAAGAAUAAGAUGUUUUAGUGCUCAGAGAGUGGAACCUUCAUGGAAGAUUCCUGGGUUCACGAGCUGUCAGAAGUGGCAAUUGAAAGAGUUUCAGUUUGGUGGUUUUAGGCCCCUACUGAAGCAUCACUUGUUAUUUGCAAGUACCGUGAUGGGUCGAGCUCCAGAUCUGAAGACGGUUCUUCUGACAGAUGGUCAAUAUCCAUGCAAGGGCUGUGAUGCAAUGAUCCCUAUACCUCCUCCUGUAGGGGGCUUCUUUCCAAGGGACAGGGAUACACAAGAGGCAAUAGUCAAGCAACUUAGAGAGAUCGUCCAGUCCUCAGCACAGAUAAUUUUCCGUGGUGGUUCGACACACCCCUCUCGAGCCACCUGGUCAUGUAUUUAUUAGCAAGCAGAGUACAAGAGAUCAUGUCAGUUUUAUUAUAUUUUGAACUUACAGAAUCGUAGGAGAGUAAUUCCCUUUGUAUCCUUUAUUAUUUCUCUCUGUCAAUUUUG